rnacentral:rRNA from 1 species
UUCCGUAGGGGUACCUGCGGAGGGAUCAUUACCGAGUUUACAACUCCCAAACCCCUGUGAACAUACCAAUUGUUGCCUCGGCGGAUCAGCCCGCUCCCGGUAAAACGGGACGGCCCGCCAGAGGACCCCUAAACUCUGUUUCUAUAUGUAACUUCUGAGUAAAACCAUAAAUAAAUCAAAACUUUCAACAACGGAUCUCUUGGUUCUGGCAUCGAUGAAGAACGCAGCAAAAUGCGAUAAGUAAUGUGAAUUGCAGAAUUCAGUGAAUCAUCGAAUCUUUGAACGCACAUUGCGCCCGCCAGUAUUCUGGCGGGCAUGCCUGUUCGAGCGUCAUUUCAACCCUCAAGCCCUCGGGUUUGGUGUUGGGGAUCGGCGAGCCCUUGCGGCAAGCCGGCCCCGAAAUCUAGUGGCGGUCUCGCUGCAGCUUCCAUUGCGUAGUAGUAAAACCCUCGCAACUGGUACGCGGCGCGGCCAAGCCGUUAAACCCCCAACUUCUGAAUGUUGACCUCGGAUCAGGUAGGAAUACCCGCUGAACUUAAGCAUAUCAAUAAGGCGGAGGAA